CCAAAUCCUAAAGGGGUUGAAAUGUAGCAUAAUCGGAUGCCGUUUAAUUGGCGGAGUGUUGAAUGGACUCACGAGGGCAAAGCUGUCUUGGGCCGAGGUUUUAAUGAAUUAGACACAGAAGUGAAGAGGCUUUUUAUACCAGUUAGACGAAAAGACCCCGUGAAGCUUUACUAUAACCUAGCAGACCCCCUGAGAGGCUUUACCCCGGUCUUUUAAGGCCUUAGGGCUUGAGACAUGGUGUGGGGCAUUAACGAUUGCUGCUGCUAGGCUGGUAGUUUUGGUGGGGCGCCAGCACAUUAAAGUAAACGUGGAGUUGAUUAGCCUAAAAAGCAUUCGCCUAGUGUAAGGAACGCCUUUAUACAGGGUCAAAAGACGGUUAAAUGACCCGCCUAUAAAGCAAUUAAAAUAGACGACAAAGGAUAAAAGCUACUCCGGGGAUAACAGG
rnacentral:rRNA from 1 species